rnacentral:sRNA from 1 species
CGGCUCCGGGCGGCAGCUAUGAGGCGGGACGUGCGCAUCCUGUUACUGGGCGAGGCCCAGGUGGGGAAGACGUCGCUGAUCCUGUCCCUGGUGGGCGAGGAGUUCCCCGAGGAGGUAAGGGGCACGCCCGCCGCGGGGGUGGGAGCGGGCCCAGCCGGGGGUCCCUGGUGAGCGCGCGGGUCCCUUGCAGGUCCCUCCCCGCGCGGAGGAGAUCACGAUCCCCGCGGACGUCACCCCGGAGAAGGUGCCCACCCACAUCGUGGACUACUCAGAAGCCGAGCAGACGGACGAGGAGCUGCGGGAGGAGAUCCACAAGGCAAACGUGGUGUGUGUGGUGUAUGACGUCUCUGAGGAGGCCACCAUUGAGAAGAUUCGAACUAAGUGGAUCCCACUGGUGAAUGGGGGGACCACGCGGGGGCCCAGGUAAUGAGGGGGAUGUGGAAGGGGCUGGGACUCCUGGCUCCCCUGCCCCUGGUGACCAUGGGCCUUCAACCCAGGGUGCCCAUCAUCCUAGUGGGCAACAAGUCAGACCUGCGGUCGGGGAGCUCCAUGGAGGCCGUGCUCCCCAUCAUGAGCCAGUUUCCCGAGAUUGAGACCUGCGUGGAGUGUUCGGCCAAGAACCUGAGGAACAUCUCAGAGCUGUUCUACUACGCCCAGAAGGCCGUCCUGCAUCCCACAGCCCCCCUCUA